CCUACUUGCCCCGGGGGGACAGUCAUGGCCGCUGGUCUAACAAUGCACCUGGCUGGAUCAGGAACAUCCACUUUUUCUCCAAAUGAAAGGUUACACACAGUGAGUCAUUUUUCUAGCUUUUUAAAAAGCUUGAUUCACCCCUCUAAUUUCCCACCUUUCUCUUCCAGCUGCCUUGUUUAAUAAUUAGGCUGUUUAAUAAAUGCAUUUGAUGAGGAGGAGCA
rnacentral:lncRNA from 1 species